rnacentral:rRNA from 1 species
UGCCCACAGGCGCGGGACAACCACGGGAAACCGUGGCUAAUACCGCACGUCGUCUGGAGCCCGCAUGGGCACCAGAUGAAACCCUGCGAGGGGGCCUUUGGAUGGGUCUGCGUCGGAUUAGCUUGUUGGUGAGGUAACGGCUCACCAAAGUGACGAUCCGUAGCUGGUCUGAGAGGACGAUCAGCCACACUGGGACUGAGACACGGCCCAGACUCCUACGGGAGGCAGCAGUGGGGAAUCUUGCACAAUGGGGGAAACCCUGAUGCAGCCAUGCCGCGUGGAGGAAGACACCCCUAUGGGGCGUAAACUCCUUUUCUGAGAGAAGAAACCUCUGUAGGUUCAGAGUGUGACGGUAUCUCAGGAAUAAGCACCGGCUAACUCCGU